AGCAGCCGCGGUAAUUCCAGCUCCAAUAGCGUAUAUUAAAGUUGUUGCAGUUAAAAAGCUCGUAGUUGAAUUUCGGGGUUCAUCCGUUGGUCGGGCUUUUUUGGUCUGUACUGGCGUGAUGGAUUCCUACCUUCUGAAUAACCAGCAUGUCAUUAAUUUGGUGCGCUGGGGAAGCAGGACUGUUACCUUGAAAAAAUUAGAGUGCUUAAAGCAGGCUAUCGCCUGAAUACAUUAGCAUGGAAUAAUGAAAUAGGACGGCAUGGUUCUAUUUUGUUGGUUUCUAGGAUCACCGUAAUGAUUAAUAGGGAUAGUUGGGGGCAUUAGUAUUCAAUUGUCAGAGGUGAAAUUCUUGGAUUUAUUGAAGACUAACUUCUGCGAAAGCAUUUGCCAAGGAUGUUUUCAUUAAUCAAGAACGAAAGUUAGGGGAUCGAAGACGAUCAGAUACCGUCGUAGUCUUAACCAUAAACUAUGCCGACUAGGGAUCGGACGAUGUUAAUUUUUUAAUGACUCGUUCGGCGCCUUACG
rnacentral:rRNA from 1 species